GAUGAACGCUGGCGGCGUGCUUAACACAUGCAAGUCGAACGGUGAAGGCGGAGCUUGCUCUGCUGGAUCAGUGGCGAACGGGUGAGUAACACGUGAGCAAUCUGCCCCUUACUCUGGGAUAAGCGCUGGAAACGGCGUCUAAUACUGGAUACGAGCUGCGAAGGCAUCUUCAGCAGCUUGAAAGAAUUGCGGUCAGGGAUGAGCUCGCGGCCUAUCAGCUUGUUGGUGAGGUAAUGGCUCACCAAGGCGUCGACGGGUAGCCGGCCUGAGAGGGUGACCGGCCACACUGGGACUGAGACACGGCCCAGACUCCUACGGGAGGCAGCAGUGGGGAAUAUUGCACAAUGGGCGAAAGCCUGAUGCAGCAACGCCGCGUGAGGGAAGACGGCCUUCGGGUUGUAAACCUCUUUUAGCAGGGAAGAAGAGAAAGUGACGGUACCUGCAGAAAAAGCGCCGGCUAACUACGUG
rnacentral:rRNA from 1 species